UACGUAGGGGGCAAGCGUUAUCCGGAUUUACUGGGUGUAAAGGGAGCGUAGACGGCUGUGCAAGUCUGAAGUGAAAGCCCGUGGCUCAACCGCGGAACUGCUUUGGAAACUGCCAUGCUAGAGUGCUGGAGAGGUAAGCGGAAUUCCUAGUGUAGCGGUGAGAUGCGUAGAUAUUAGGAGGAACACCAGUGGCGAAGGCGGCUUACUGGACAGUAACCGACGUUGAGGCUCGAAAGCGUGGGGAGCAAACAGG
rnacentral:rRNA from 1 species